ensembl:lncRNA
GAAGCGGAUUACUGUAGUUGAGAUAUUGUUUAUUUAGGAAUAAUUAAGAGUCGCAUGAAAAGGCAGACCUCCGCCCCGUGUCAUCGGAGGCCAGCCGGCUUAUACUGUCCAUCGGAUACUGGGUGCAGCGGUCCUGGCAGUAUCUGGUGGACUGGGAAGGCUACAGUCCCGAGGAGCGCUCCUAGGUUCCUGCCAAAGACAUACUGGACCCUGACCUCAUUCGACAGUUCAGGGCCCUCCACCCCGAGAAAGCUGGACAAUGACCCAACACACUUCCAGGCUGUGUAAGGGCUAUUUGACCAAGGAGGAGAGUCAUGGAGUGCUGCAUCAGAUGACCUGGUCUCCACAAUCCCCCGACCUCAACCCAAUUGAGAUGGUUUGGGAUAAGACCGCAGAGUGAAAGAAAAGCAACCAACAAGUGCUCAGCAUAUGUGGGAACUCCUUCAAGACUGUUGGAAAAGCAUUCCAGGUGAAGCUGGUUGAGAGAAUGCUAAGAGUGUGCAAAUCUGUCAUCAAGGCAAAAGGUGGCUACUUUGAAGAAUCUGAAAUAUAAAAUAUAUUUUGAUUUGUUAAACACUUUUUUGGUUACUACAUGAUUCCAUAUGUGUUAUUUCAUAGUUUUGAUGUCUUCACUAUUAUUCUACAAUGUAGAAAAUAGUCAAAUUAAAGAAAAACCCUUGAAUGAGUAGGUGUGUCCAAACUUUUGACUGGUACUGUAUAUAUACAACUCAAGAAAAUAACCUUUUUUGACUGCAGCUAGGCCAUUCCACUAAUUCGGUGCCUUUUAAGAAGUGUAAGGUGGUUAUUUCACCUAUUAAAACAAUUAUGUCAUAAAGAGCAAAUGUUCAACUUAAUAAAAAAAUUGUUUUCCCAUCUAAAUUGGUUAAAUAAAAUUUAAAAAAUGCUAUAGUAAAUGCCUUUUAAGUGCCAAAUAAAGUAACAUGGUUGAUUAUAAGGUUGAUGAGUUCAUGUUAAAUCAGCCAUAAAUCCCCUUGUGACAGGGUGAAUGGAAGCUUGUGUGCAACAGGGAGUGGUAAUUAAAUGCAAGCUUCACAAAAAAAAAUGUAAUUGUUAAAACAAUUGUAGCCUGUCUACAGUAGGUUGGUUGGAU